rnacentral:tRNA from 1 species
GGAGGCGUCGCAUAGUGGUCUAGUGCACCACCUUGGAAAGGUGGCAUGCCUUAACGGGUAUCGGAGGUUCGAAUCCUCCCGCCUCCGCCA